GGAAUCUUGCGCAAUGGGCGAAAGCCUGACGCAGCGACGCCGCGUGAGCGAUGAAGGCCCUCGGGUUGUAAAGCUCUGUGGGGAGGGAAGAAUAAGGGCAGGCUAAUACCUUGUCUGAUGACGGUACCUCCUUAGCAAGCCCCGGCUAACUCUGUGCCAGCAGCCGCGGUAAGACAGAGGGUGCAAACGUUGUUCGGAAUUACUGGGCGUAAAGCGCGUGUAGGCGGCUAUGCAAGUCGGAUGUGAAAUCCCGUGGCUCAACCACGGAAGUGCACUCGAAACUGCGUAGCUGGAGUCCCGGAGAGGAAGGUGGAAUGCUUGGUGUAGAGGUGAAAUUCGUAGAUAUCAAGCGGAACACCGGUGGCGAAGGCGGCCUUCUGGACGGUGACUGACGCUGAGACGCGAAAGCGUGGGGAGCAAAC
rnacentral:rRNA from 1 species